rnacentral:sRNA from 1 species
CCGCCUCAAUUACAGUCUCCCCACAGGCCAGUGGGUGGGAGUGCAGCUUCCAAGAAACACCACUUCCUAUGUCCUGAGAGACCUGGAACCAGGACAGGAGUACAAUGUCCUCCUGACAGCCGAGAAAGGCAGACAUAAGAGCAAGCCCGCACGUGUGAAGGCAUCCACUGAAGCUGAACUGGAAGUUGACAACCUUCUGGUUUCAGAUGCCACCCCAGACGGUUUCCGUCUGUCCUGGACAGCUGAUGAAGGGGUCUUCGACAAUUUUGUUCUCAAAAUCAGAGAUACCAAAAAGCAGUCUGAGCCACUGGAAAUAACCCUACUUGCCCCCGAACGUACCAGGGACAUAACAGGUCUCAGAGAGGCUACCGAAUACGAAAUUGAAC